UGCAGUCGAGCGGAGAUGAGGUGCUUGCACCUUAUCUUACGGCGGACGGGUGAGUAAUGCUUAGGAAUCUGCCUAUUAGUGGGGGACAACAUUCCGAAAGGAAUGCUAAUACCGCAUACGUCCUACGGGAGAAAGCAGGGGAUCUUCAGACCUUGCGCUAAUAGAUGAGCCUAAGUCGGAUUAGCUAGUUGGUGGGGUAAAGGCCUACCAAGGCGACGAUCUGUAGCGGGUCUGAGAGGAUGAUCCGCCACACUGGGACUGAGACACGGCCCAGACUCCUACGGGAGGCAGCAGUGGGGAAUAUUGGACAAUGGGGGAAACCCUGAUCCAGCCAUGCCGCGUGUGUGAAGAAGGCCUUAUGGUUGUAAAGCACUUUAAGCGAGGAGGAGGCUACUGAGACUAAUACUCUUGGAUAGUGGACGUUACUCGCAGAAUAAGCACCGGCUAACUCUGUGCCAGCAGCCGCGGUAAUACAGAGGGUGCGAGCGUUAAUCGGAUUUACUGGGCGUAAAGCGUGCGUAGGCGGCUUUUUAAGUCGGAUGUGAAAUCCCCGAGCUUAACUUGGGAAUUGCAUUCGAUACUGGGAAGCUAGAGUAUGGGAGAGGAUGGUAGAAUUCCAGGUGUAGCGGUGAAAUGCGUAGAGAUCUGGAGGAAUACCGAUGGCGAAGGCAGCCAUCUGGCCUAAUACUGACGCUGAGGUACGAAAGCAUGGGGAGCAACAGGAUUAGAUACCCUGGUAGUCCAUGCCGUAAACGAUGUCUACUAGCCGUUGGGGCCUUUGAGGCUUUAGUGGCGCAGCUAACGCGAUAAGUAGACCGCCUGGGGAGUACGGUCGCAAGACUAAAACUCAAAUGAAUUGACGGGGGCCCGCACAAGCGG
rnacentral:rRNA from 1 species